CGGAAUGAGUAGCGCGAAUGCAGUGAGAAUCUGCAUGGCCGAAAGCCUCAGGUUUUUGGAGGAAGGUUCGUCCGCUCCAAGUUAGUCGGGAGCUAAGGUGAGGCCGAAAGGCGUAGCCGAUGCACAGACGGUAGAGAUUCCGUCACCACCAAAAGAGUUAAGCACAGGGACACAUUUGAAGUCUCAGAGCCGGGUGUUGGUUCCGGUAGAGAUCGAGGGAAAUUAGUACCGAAGUCUGGGAUGGAAGAUGGCGAGAAAAGCUGUGUGUAUUUCUGAGGUGCCCGUACCGCAAACCGACACAGGUAGGUAGGAAGAAGAUUCUAAGGCCAACGGGAGAAGGGUUGUUAAGGAACUCGGCAAAUUGACCCCGUAACUUCGGGAGAAGGGGUGCUCCAGAGAUGGAGCCGCAGAGAAUCGGCCCAAGCAACUGUUUACCAAAAACACAGGUUUGUGCUAAAUCGAAAGAUGACGUAUACGAGCUGACGCCUGCCCGGUGCUGGAAGGUUAAGAGGAGAUGUGCAAGCAUUGAAUCGAAGCCCCAGUGAACGGCGGCCGUAACUAUAACGGUCCUAAGGUAGCGAAAUUCCUUGUCAGGUAAGUUCUGACCCGCAUGAAAGGCGUAAUGAUUUGGGCACUGUCUCAACAGCCCGCCCGGCGAAAUUGUAGUACCGGUGAAGAUGCCGGUUACCCGCGACAAGACGGAAAGACCCCAUGGAGCUUUACUGUAGCCUAAUAUUGGGUUUCGAUGUUGCAUGCACAGGAUAGAUGGGACACAGGGAAACAAUCGCUUUGGCGGUUGCGGAGUGGCCGUUGGGAUACCAUCCUUGCGAUAUUGGAAUUCUAACCUGCGGCUCUGAAUCGAGUCGGGGGACAUUGUUAGGUGGGCAGUUUGACUGGGGCGGUCGCCUCCUAAAAAGUAACGGAGGCGUUCAAAGGUUCGCUCAGCUUGAACGGAAAUCAAGCAAAAGAGUGCAAACGCAGAAGCGAGCCUAACUGCGAGACUGACGGGUCGAGCAGUAACGAAAGUUGGAGUUAGUGAUCCGGUGGUAUGUGAGUGG
rnacentral:rRNA from 1 species